GUACAAUAAGCUAAACAAGGGCGUAUGGGGAAUGCCUAGGCUCUCAGAGGCGAUGAAGGACGUGAUAAGCUGCGAAAAGCUGCGGGGAUCGGCACAUACGAUUCGAUCCGCAGAUAUCCGAAUGGGGCAACCCAGCAUGUUGAAGACAUGUUAUCCGCAAGGAGGCGAACCCGGGGAACUGAAACAUCUAAGUACCCGGAGGAAGAGAAAACAAAAGUGAUUCCGUUAGUAGUGGCGAGCGAACGCGGAUUAGCCCAAACCGGUGCUGUUACGGCAGUGCCGGGGUUGUAGGACUGCAAUGUUCGAGUUGUGCUGAACUGGAACGCUCUGGAAAGAGCGACCAUAGAGGGUGAUAGUCCCGUACAGGCAAAAAUCAACGAGAUAGCAGUAUCCUGAGUAGCGCGGGGCACGUGAAACCCUGUGUGAAUCUGUGGGGACCAUCCCAUAAGGCUAAAUACUCCUGAGAGACCGAUAGUGAACCAGUACCGUGAGGGAAAGGUGAAAAGAACCCUGAAUAAGGGAGUGAAAUAGAACCUGAAACCAUACGCCUACAAGCGGUCGGAGCCCAUUAGGGUGACGGCGUGCCUUUUGCAUAAUGAGCCUACGAGUUACCGUUGCUGGCAAGGUUAAGGCAUUAAGUGCCGGAUCCGUAGCGAAAGCGAGUCUGAACAGGGCGUGCAGUCAGUAGUGGUAGACGCGAAACCGUGUGAUCUACCCAUGGGCAGGGUGAAGCUGUGGUAACACACAGUGGAGGCCCGAACCGGUUGACGUUGAAAAGUCUUCGGAUGACCUGUGGGUAGGGGUGAAAGGCCAAUCAAACUCGGAAAUAGCUCGUACUCCCCGAAAUGCAUUUAGGUGCAGCGUACUGUUAGUUUUAUAGAGGUAGAGCUACUGAUUGGAUGCGGGGGCUUCACCGCCUACCAAUUCCUGACAAACUCCGAAUGCUAUAAAAUGUUGCAGUGCAGUGAGGGCAUGGGUGCUAAGGUCCAUGUCCGAGAGGGAAAGAACCCAGACCAUCAGCUAAGGUCCCCAAAUGUAUGCUAAGUUGAAAAAACGCGGUUGGACUGCUUUGACAGCUAGGAUGUUGGCUUGGAAGCAGCCAUUCAUUUAAAGAGUGCGUAACAGCUCACUAGUCGAGCGGUCCGGCAUGGAUAAUAAUCGGGCAUAAGCAUACUACCGAAGCUAUGGACUUGUAAAAGUGGUAGGGGAGCAUUGUAGUGCCGUUGAAGGUGCGCUGUGAGGCGUGCUGGAGGAGCUACAAAAGAAAAUGUAGGCAUAAGUAACGAUAAUGCGGGCGAGAAACCCGCACUCCGAAAAACCAAGGUUUCCUCAGCUAUGCUAAUCAGCUGAGGGUUAGUCGGGACCUAAGGCGAACCCGAAAGGGGCAGUCGAUGGACAACGGGUUAAUAUUCCCGUACCCGCUCCCAUUAAAAGUGACGGAGGCGUAUAUUCGGUGCGUGCUGACGGAAUAGCACGUUGAAGCGAGCAGUAAUGCCGCGAUAGUACACUAAGGCUCCGGCCGCGGUGAUAAUCCGGAGAAGCGACUUCCAAGAAAAGCGAGGGAAGCGGCCCGUACCCCAAACCGACACAGGUGGUUGGGAUGAGAAUUCUAAGGAGCUCGAGAGAUUCAUGGCUAAGGAACUAGGCAAAAUAGACGCGUAACUUCGGGAGAAGCGUCGCCCAUCUUCGGAUGGGCCGCAGUGAAAAGGUCCAGGCGACUGUUUAUCAAAAACACAGGGCUAUGCGAAAUCGAAAGAUGAUGUAUAUGGCCUGACACCUGCCCGGUGCCGGAAGGUUAAGUGGAGAUGUUAGCUUCGGCGAAGCAUUCAAAUGAAGCCCCGGUAAACGGCGGCCGUAACUAUAACGGUCCUAAGGUAGCGAAAUUCCUUGUCGGGUAAGUUCCGACCUGCACGAAUGGUGCAACGAUCUGGACACUGUCUCAGCCAUGAGCUCGGUGAAAUUGUAGUAUCGGUGAAGAUGCCGAUUACCCGCUGUGGGACGAAAAGACCCCGUGCACCUUUACUAUAGCUUAGUAUUGGUUUUGGACAAGUAAUGUGUAGGAUAGGUGGGAGACUUCGAAGCUGCGUCGCCAGGCGUGGUGGAGUCAUUGUUGAAAUACCACCCUUUGCUUGUCUAGAGUCUAACCCCGCACAACGGGGGACAGUGCUUGGUGGGUAGUUUGACUGGGGUGGUCGCCUCCAAAAGAGUAACGGAGGCUUCUAAAGGUUCCCUCAGCACGCUUGGUAACCGUGCGCAGAGUGCAAUGGCAUAAGGGAGCUUGACUGAGAGACCUACAAGUCGAUCAGGUACGAAAGUAGAGCAUAGUGAUCCGGUGGUUCCGCAUGGAAGGGCCAUCGCUCAAAGGAUAAAAGGUACGCCGGGGAUAACAGGCUGAUCUCCCCCAAGAGCUCACAUCGACGGGGGGGUUUGGCACCUCGAUGUCGGCUCGUCACAUCCUGGGGCUGGAGAAGGUCCCAAGGGUUGGGCUGUUCGCCCAUUAAAGUGGCACGCGAGCUGGGUUCAGAACGUCGUGAGACAGUUCGGUCUCUAUCUACAGCGGGCGCUAGAAAUUUGAGUGGAUCUGACCCUAGUACGAGAGGACCGGGUUGGACGGACCUCUGGUGUACCUGUUGUCGCGCCAGCGGCAUGGCAGGGUAGCUACGUCCGGAAGGGAUAAGCGCUGAAAGCAUAUAAGCGCGAAACCCACCACAAGAUGAGAUUUCUUUAAAGGGUCGUGGGAGAUGACCACGUCGAUAGGCCACAGGUGUAAAGGCGGUAACGUCACAGCCGAGUGGUACUAAUAACCCAUAGGCUUAUUGUACGCC
rnacentral:rRNA from 1 species